UACGUAGGGGGCAAGCGUUGUCCGGAUUUAUUGGGCGUAAAGAGCGUGUAGGCGGCCAUACAGGUCCGUUGUGAAAACUCGAGGCUCAACCUCGAGACGUCGAUGGAAACCGUAUGGCUAGAGUCCGGAAGAGGAGAGUGGAAUUCCUGGUGUAGCGGUGAAAUGCGCAGAUAUCAGGAAGAACACCCGUGGCGAAGGCGGUUCUCUGGGCCUUACCUGACGCUGAGGAGCGAAAGCGUGGGGAGCGAACAGG
rnacentral:rRNA from 1 species